GGGGGACGACGCUGGCGGCGUGCAUUACACAUGCAAGUCGAGCGGUAAGGCCCCUUCGGGGGUACACGAGCGGCGAACGGGUGAGUAACACGUGAGCAACCUACCCUCAACUCUGGGAUAAGCCUCGGAAACGGGGUCUAAUACCGGAUAUCAUCACAGGCUUCAUGGUUUGUGGUUGAAAGUUCUGGCGGUUGGGGAUGGGCUCGCGGCCUAUCAGCUUGUUGGUGGGGUAAUGGCCUACCAAGGCGUCGACGGGUAGCCGGCCUGAGAGGGCGACCGGCCACACUGGGACUGAGACACGGCCCAGACUCCUACGGGAGGCAGCAGUGGGGAAUAUUGCGCAAUGGACGAAAGUCUGACGCAGCAACGCCGCGUGAGGGAUGACGGCCUUCGGGUUGUAAACCUCUUUCAGCAGGGACGAAGCGAGAGUGACGGUACCUGCAGAAGAAGGACCGGCCAACUACGUGCCAGCAGCCGCGGUAAUACGUAGGGUCCGAGCGUUGUCCGGAAUUAUUGGGCGUAAAGGGCUCGUAGGCGGUUCGUCACGUCGGGAGUGAAAACUCGGGGCUUAACCCCGAGCCUGCUUCCGAUACGGGCAGACUAGAGGUAGGCAGGGGAGAGCGGAACUCCUGGUGUAGCGGUGGAAUGCGCAGAUAUCAGGAAGAACACCGGUGGCGAAGGCGGCUCUCUGGGCCUUACCUGACGCUGAGGAGCGAAAGCGUGGGUAGCGAACAGGAUUAGAUACCCUGGUAGUCCACGCCGUAAACGUUGGGCGCUAGGUGUGGGGGACAUUCCACGUCCUCCGUGCCGCAGCUAACGCAUUAAGCGCCCCGCCUGGGGAGUACGGCCGCAAGGCUAAAACUCAAAGGAAUUGACGGGGGCCCGCACAAGCGGCGGAGCAUGCGGAUUAAUUCGAUGCAACGCGAAGAACCUUACCUGGGUUUGACAUAUAGGGAAAUCUCGCAGAGAUGCGGGGUCCGUAAGGGUCCUAUACAGGUGGUGCAUGGCUGUCGUCAGCUCGUGUCGUGAGAUGUUGGGUUAAGUCCCGCAACGAGCGCAACCCUCGUCCUAUGUUGCCAGCACGUUAUGGUGGGGACUCAUAGGAGACUGCCGGGGUCAACUCGGAGGAAGGUGGGGAUGACGUCAAGUCAUCAUGCCCCUUAUGUCCAGGGCUUCACGCAUGCUACAAUGGCCGGUACAAAGGGCUGCGAUACCGCAAGGUGGAGCGAAUCCCAAAAAGCCGGUCUCAGUUCGGAUUGGGGUCUGCAACUCGACCCCAUGAAGUCGGAGUCGCUAGUAAUCGCAGAUCAGCAACGCUGCGGUGAAUACGUUCCCGGGCCUUGUACACACCGCCCGUCACGUCAUGAAAGUCGGCAACACCCGAAGCCGGUGGCCUAACCCUUGUGGAGGGAGCCGUCGAAGGUGGGGCUGGCG
rnacentral:rRNA from 1 species